GUAUUGGUUUGUCUUGAUGUGGUUUGGACUGUCUUUGUGGUUUGUUUUUUUGGUUUUCACUUAUGUCUGUCCACCCUCAACUUGGUACACCCUCAACUGUCAACACCCUCAACUACCUUGCUCUGUUUUACAAUUAGGCAACUGAGUUUUUAGCUAGCUCACCUGUUGGGAAUACUGACACAGUAACCCUGGCUAUUUGCACAACAUUUGAAGACCAAGAGAUUCAGUUUGGCAAUGUGCAUGAUGACAACAGUAGUGAUCUUUGUACCAUCUCAUGGCAUUCCCAAAAUGAGGAGGCAGUCCUGAAUGAUCAACCUCUUGAUGUAGCACCAGCACAUCCAGUGGCAGACACAGAUGAACCUGCAAGUGUGAAAGAGGCCCGGAAAGUUAAGAUAAGAUGAGUAAAUGUAAUUCAGGAUAUGUUAGAACUUUCUUUGGACCCUAAAAUUCUUGACGUAACCCUACGAUUUGAGCUUGUCUGUGAGAAGGCGUUAGAUGAUGGUGUGUCAAGGGUGGAGGUACAAGUGCCUAGACUCCGACCAGACUAUUCAGAGAAAGAAUGGCAAGCUGUUGGUAGACAAUGGGCUAAAGAAUUUGUGGACCAUGGCAUUAUUCUAGUCAAACUGUCACCAGUCUUUGUCCUAGCAUGCACUUAGAGAACUGAUUCAGUGGAUGAAACCCUGCUGAUAUAAUUUGCAAAAUACUUGUCGUCUGCAGGGCAAUAUGGAUGAAAUUGACAAAGAGGACUUACUAGUCCUCUUCGCAAAAAUCUGAUCUAUAUCCUGCCCCUAGAAGGCAACAUGCAAAUUGCCAUUCUGACAAUGGCUCGCAAAGUUUUAUUACAAGAGCCCAAAUUUGAAAUCGAUUGCUUCAGCUAUGUUAUGAGUCUUGCAUUGUAAUCUGACAACUAAAGAAAGCAUACUGUUACGGUUUCCCCUUGUUCUUGGGUCUGUUUCUUGUCCUGUGUUGUAGCCAUGUGCUUUCUGCCAUGUGCUGUUUUGUUUUUGGUUCUUGUGCACUGCCUUUUCCCUGCCUUCCCCGUUAAUAUCUUCACCUGUCUGUAGUCUCUCUCUCCUCCCUCUCCCAGGUGUUCCCCAUUUGUAACCUUUAUCUAGCCCUUUGUUUUAGUCAGUGAUUUUCUGGUCUUCUUGUGACUUUGUCUUAUGUAGUUCUCUCCCUGCUUCGUGUUUGUGCUUUGUUUCUUUCUUUAAGCCCUGUAGGUUGUUACUUUGCACUUUGCUAUUUUGUUUGUUAUUAAAGUCUGCUUGCACUUAAA